UCCUGCAGAUCCUCCCUUCGAUUUCUCCUUCACCUGCCUUGAAUCCCAGUUGGCCGGGAAGCCAUGGAGCAACCAGCAAGCACUCUUAAUGUGGCCGGGACGACCACAGUGGUAACACGUCUUGGUCGUUCCUCCUCUACCUCCUCCUUGUCCUCCGUAAUUCGAAUCACCGCUACUGCCCUGCAUCUCCAGCUUCCCUCCCGUCGCUCUGCUCAGAAAUACUGCCCCAUCCGGUGCAUUACUUUCGUGAGAUAAGACCACCAUGUUCUGCCACUCUUCGUGUAGAAUCAGGGCAUGCACCUUGUUGAGCGAAUGGGCGGGUUCGUGACUGAGUAUGUUCGAUCGCACGGUACUAUACUCAGAUCCUAAUCCCAUCAAAAUUGAUGAAUCUUCUCCCGUUCUCUCUGAGCCGCAUAUGUUCUAGCCGCCGAGCAAGUACACGCCGGAAUUUCGAGCCUUUAAUUGAUAAAUUCUCGUCUCUCGGAGAUCUUCCCACAAGGUCUGAGCCACGGUCGCGCAAGCCACACUGGAUUGGAGUUCCGAAUCCAGUGUGUUGAAAAUCCAGGAAAUCACUAGAGCAUUGCUCAUGUCCCACUUCGCUUGAUUUGAGUCCCCUUCCGGUGGUCUUGGCACCGACCCAUCAAUCAUCCCGACUUUGUUCUUCGCUCUCAGUGCAUUCAACAUGGCUCUCGACCACGUGAGGUAAUUCGACCCAUUCAAUUUGCAAUUGAUCAGGCUAACACCAUUGUAAUCUGAUGGAUUAACAGUGAAGACGGACAAUAAAUCAGUCUCCACGCCCCCCGAAGCCUUUCCUGAAGUUUCUACCCCUUCUCCAUCUCUGCCCUCACUCACAACCGGUCAAGAAGCCUAAACCAGAGAAGAUAACACUCUCCCAGAACCCUUAUGCUCUAAUACCAUGAUAAUAGCUGAGCUAAAAAGCUUGAUUUCAUUCAUACUUAAUCACGUACAUAUAUUGUCGAUUACAUGAAAAGAGGAAAGAAUUCUAUGAUAUCUAUUGCCUAAUAUGUGUGUAACUAUUAAGCCUAGUUAAUAUACAAGGGCAUAAUAAAUCUCCGCUAAUUUUGGCAAGAUAUAUUCUGUAAUACUUCUCAUUUCUUGUGACAGUUGUUGGAUUCGGUAAGAAGCGAGGACCCAAUUCAUCUGAGAAGUAAGCAUGAAAGGGAAAGAGGAUCGUUGUUGUUUUCUAUUUUCUUCAUUUUGUUCCUUUUGAGGUGUUUUAGAAUGACUUGAUGGGAAAGUAAGCACUAGUAUUUGUAUUGCUAUCCAUAUAUGAAUGGUAAAGGCUGAGUACCACUCAGAUUAUGCAUUUGUGUGACUUCGAUGUUUGGUUGUUCCUCAUCAAGUUACUCUCUGUCAUUCAUUUUC